rnacentral:rRNA from 1 species
CUCGUAGGUGGCCGACUAAGUCGGACGUGAAAUCCCUCGGCUUAACCGGGGAACUGCGUCCGAUACUGGAUGGCUUGAGUUUGGGAGAGGGACGCGGAAUUCCAGGUGUAGCGGUGAAAUGCGUAGAUAUCUGGAGGAACACCGGUGGCGAAGGCGGCGUCCUGGACCAAUACUGACACUGAUGAGCGAAAGCCAGGGGAGCAAACGGGAUUAGAUACCCCGGUAGUCCUGGCCCUAAACGAUGAAUGCUUGGUGUGGCGGGUAUCGAUCCCUGCCGUGCCGAAGCUAACGCAUUAAGCAUUCCGCCUGGGGAGUACGGUCGCAAGGCUGAA